GGCUUCGUAGCUCAGCUGGUAGAGCGCUCUCCGCAUUUGGACAUGCCGUUUCUGUCGCUUGUUCGAAUCCAGCCGAAGUUC